UGACCAUCAACAGCAGAUUCCAGGGCCUCAGAUAGUUUCAUGGGGAUUAUACUAUUAUGACAAUCUCCAUUCCCAGAUUUGGCCAGGAGUAUCUUUGAGACAAAACUCCAGGAGUGUUCCUAUAACUUCUGGAGUGCCCAUCUGCUCCAAACCUCUCUCUGCUGUCUGCUGGUCAAUUACAGAAAACAGACUGAAAUACUCCAAAGGCACCUCUGGCACCUCAGCUUUACCUGCCUUACCUCUGGCCAGCUUUCAGCAGGAGGAAUUUUGCCAGCUAGAAGAACCACCUCCUUGUCUGGUUAGAAAAAGAGUCACAGUUAUCACUGAAAUAAAUGCUGUAUGUAAUA